rnacentral:lncRNA from 1 species
AGACGUGAAGGCAGGUGCUGGAGCUGAGAGCACAUAGAAGGGGCACCCAGCCCAGGAAAGCGAUAUUCACAGGAAGAAUUGAGGACGGUGUAACAGAUCACCUGAGAAGCAGGGAAGAUUAGAUUUUAAAUGAUGAUGGAAGAACACUCAGCAUAUUCUGGAUAUUAGAGAACUGAGGAAAUAAAGACAUGAGUCAACUUCCCAGCAAUGGGCCCAUCCAGGGUAAACUAGACAUCUAUUCAUCAGAGAGAAGAGGUGAUGAUGCAUUGCUGCCCCCACUUCUCAACAAACUCGGCAACUGAUUCACGGCUAUGGGAUGAAAUCCAAAA